ACCUCCGUCCAGGGGUUCGCACGCGCUCCCCCGCCCCUUUCGUCUCCGCCGCAUACGGUGGCCGGAGGUUUAAAAACCUCGCCUUCCAACGCCGAUUAAAGGUGUAAUGGGCCAAUUUAGCCCGGGCCCGUAUAAACACAAAACCAAAAAAUAACAAACAAAAUAUAUCAACAGUCCAAUAAAGGUCCAUCAGUCCAAGUUACAUAACCCAACUUUAAAACCAAAAUGAAUCAACCCAUUUACAAUUAAAUCUGAGCCCAAAUGCGAUGGGCCCAAGUGGCCCAAGAUUAGGGCAGAACCCUAGCAGCUUGUGUGCGCCGUAGCAACCAGCAACCCCAGCAUCCUCCUGGAGCCACGCACGCUCCCGUACACACGCUAGAACCACCUCGUACACUUCGAGCCAAGGGCCAGCGCAUGUCCUCUGCUCUGUACCUACGAACAAGACAAACACAGCAACAAACAGAGACAAAAGGGAAAAUAUUGUAUUUUCUUUAUUCAUUUUUUUCGUUUUGGCUAUAAAGCCAGAAAAUUUUCAUUGUAAUGGGUUACGUUCACAGAGAAUACAAACACACAAUACAUACGCAAUAUAGUUUGCUUGAAAAUCAGAGAGUCACUUCUUGAGAAGGUGAUCUUUAUCCCUCGAUUCUAUUUGUUAUUUCCUUCGUUUUUUUGUUUUCUAUCAUUUUACAUUAAAAAAAAACGAAGACUUACCUUUGUGUAUGAGCCAUUGGAAUCUAUCUUUUUCGUCGGCGUCGAAGCUUGGGAAGAUUCCAAGGCUGAAAUCGGCAGACUAUAGGGUUGGAUUCGGAAUAAGGAAGGAAAAAAGGCACUAUCGGAGCGAUAUUCAUCGUUUGAAAGGACGAAACAGAGGCUGAACGGCGCAGAGGAUUAGGGUUUCCCCUCUCCAUUGAUUCAGUCGAAUAGCUCAUCUUUGGGGCCCUUUUAAGCGACUAAAAACGACACCGUUUGAUCCCACUCCAAUGGCUCCAAAACAAUGCCGUGUAUAUAAGACCCGACCGACCUGAUUCCCAACCCCUAUGACCCGCACGUUCUGGCGGAGAGGGGGUAAUUUCUCUAUAGGUCCUCCCUUUUUGUAUGGGCGUUCGAAUGUGGCUUUAUUUAUUUCGUUUUUCUUUUUUAAUUUGUCUUUACAAUUUGCAUGUGGUUGCAAUUUAGUCCGCGUUUUAAUGCUGCAUUGUGAGGACUGGUAUAUUUCCAGUUUAGAUCCUUCUGCAUUAUCGUGCCUCGCGCAUGGGUCCCUUUUUUUUAUUAUUUGCUCCAUUGUCUUAAUUUCCCCCUCUUGUUUUAGUUUAAUUUCGAUUAAGUCCCUUAGUUCGUAGCCCUUUUGUGUGUUCUUAAUUAAUUAUUUUUAAUUUUAAGUCAUGGCUAUUCCAUUGUUAUAAACUGUUCUCUUUUAGCAAUCCUAGCAUCAUGUUUUGUACAUUUCAAAUAUUUG
rnacentral:lncRNA from 1 species